rnacentral:rRNA from 1 species
GACGAACGCUGGCGGCGUGCUUAACACAUGCAAGUCGAACGGUGAAGCGCCUUCCUUUUUGGUGGGUGUGGAUGAGUGGCGAACGGGUGAGUAACACGUGAGUAACCUGCCCCCUUCUUCUGGAUAACCGCAUGAAAGUGUGGCUAAUACGGGAUAUUCUGGGUCUGUCGCAUGAUGGGUCUGGGAAAGAUAUUGUUUCGGUGGGGGAUGGGCUCGCGGCCUAUCAGCUUGUUGGUGGGGUGAUGGCCUACCAAGGCGGUGACGGGUAGCCGGCCUGAGAGGGUGGACGGUCACACUGGGACUGAGACACGGCCCAGACUCCGACGGGAGGCAGCAGUGGGGAAUAUUGCGCAAUGGGCGCAAGCCUGAUGCAGCGACGCCGCGUGAGGGAUGGAGGCCUUCGGGUUGUGAACCUCUUUCGCCAGUGAAGCAGGCCUGCCUCGUUUGUGGGUGGGUUGACGGUAGCUGGAUAAGAAGCGCCGGCUAACUACGUG